CUUUGUUCUUCUCAGAGGCCUGCUGACCUUUGAACUCGGGAGUGGUGGGGGGUGGGUGACAAGCAACUUGGGCUGGUGAAGCACUCAGAGAACUACCAGUGCCUACUGUCCAGCUUCAGUAGGUCGGGGACAGGAAGAUCCUUGGGGCUUACUCGCUUUCAGUGCAGCCAAGAAAAAUGGAAACCCGGGUUCAGGGAGUGACCCUCCCUCAACAGAAGUGGGCCUCCUGUUCAGCACCCAGCAUGCUCUCUGACUGAUGGAUACCAAGGUCCCAAAAGCCUCUUCACAGCCUUGGACUGACACAUACAAACACACACUGUGUUCAUCAGCUUUCGGUUGCCUGUACAAACACCCCAAAGAAAUCAACCUAACAAGAAAAAAAAUGUUUAUUUUGGUUAAGGGUCUCAGAGGUGCCAAGGCCAGUUAGCCUGCUACUUUUGGACCUGUGGCAAGGCAUGACAUCAUAGCAAGAGCGUAUCCAAAGGAAGAUGCUUACCGUGUAUUGGCAGGAAAGCAAAGAAGGAGAGCAAAAGGGACCGGCUACCUCUGUCGCUUUCAAGAACUGUGGUUCCUCCAGCGACUCACCCACUACGUCCCAUCCUAAAGAUUCUACCCUCUCCCCCAGGAGUGCCAUGGGCUAAUGGUCAGAUCUUACCAGAGGGUCAUCUGAGGAACACCUCAAAUCCAAAGUGUAACAAUAGAGUUGUGUAAUUGUCAACCUAUUUUUAACUUAAAAUCUUUGGGAUAUAUAUUCAUAAAUAAAAACUUAAUUUGA